rnacentral:rRNA from 1 species
GACGAACGCUGGCGGCGUGCUUAACACAUGCAAGUCGAACGGAAAGGCCCUGCUUUUCUGGGGUGCUCGAGUGGCGAACGGGUGAGUAACACGUGAGUAACCUGCCCUUGACUUUGGGAUAACUUCAGGAAACUGGGGCUAAUACCGGAUAGGAGCUCCUGCUGCAUGGUGGGGGUUGGAAAGUUUCGGCGGUUGGGGAUGGACUCGCGGCUUAUCAGCUUGUUGGUGGGGUAGUGGCUUACCAAGGCUUUGACGGGUAGCCGGCCUGAGAGGGUGACCGGCCACAUUGGGACUGAGAUACGGCCCAGACUCCUACGGGAGGCAGCAGUGGGGAAUAUUGCACAAUGGGCGGAAGCCUGAUGCAGCAACGCCGCGUGCGGGAUGACGGCCUUCGGGUUGUAAACCGCUUUCGCCUGUGGCGAAGCGUGAGUGACGGUAAUGGGUAAAGAAGCACCGGCUAACUACGUG